GUGAAUCAUCGAAUCUUUGAACGCACAUUGCGCCCAUUAGUAUUCUAGUGGGCAUGCCUGUUCGAGCGUCAUUAAGUCCACUUAAGCCUAGCUUAGUGUUGGGAGACUGCUCCAGUGGUGCUACCCUGUAGCUACCCUGCAGCUCCUUAAAGACAGCGGCGGAGUCGUGUUAUCCUCUGAGCUUAGUAAAUCAUUCUAGCUUUCGAGAGUAUCACUUCACCUGCCGUUAAACCACCUAAUUUUUAUGGUUGACCUCGGAUCAGGUAGGAAUACCCGCUGAACUUAAGCAUAUCAAUAAGC
rnacentral:misc_RNA from 1 species